rnacentral:rRNA from 1 species
CCUACGGGUGGCUGCAGUAGGGAAUCUUCGGCAAUGGGCGAAAGCCUGACCGAGCAACGCCGCGUGAAUGAUGAAGGCCUUCGGGUUGUAAAAUUCUGUUAUAAGGGAAGAAUGGCUCUAGUAGGAAAUGGCUAGAGUGUGACGGUACCUUAUGAGAAAGCCACGGCUAACUACGUGCCAGCAGCCGCGGUAAUACGUAGGUGGCGAGCGUUAUCCGGAAUUAUUGGGCGUAAAGAGCGCGCAGGUGGUUGAUUAAGUCUGAUGUGAAAGCCCAC